rnacentral:lncRNA from 1 species
CUGAGGUGCGGACCACGAGUGGCGCAUAUUUUCUUCGGGGUGGUGGCCGAGAACCGGUGGUCUUCACGGGUAGGGUUCGGGGUCGGAGUGCAUGUCCAUGGAGGUGUCGGCUUCUCUGGCCGUCUCGUGGGCCCGCGGCACGGGCGCGUGGCCGGCGCAGAACCCGCCGGACUGAGCCAGGUGGUAGGGCUGGAGGCUCCGGCGGACGGGGCUGGAGAGCGCGUUGGAGAAGACGGCAGAGUUCUUGGCCUGGUCCAGUUGCCCGCCGCGGGGGCCGAGCUGGCCGCCGGCGGCGGCGGCCGGGAAGGUCAACCCCGCGAGGUGCAUGGCGGGCUGCGACGGCAGCCUCGGGGACAUGGAGGGG